UACGUAGGGUGCGAGCGUUAAUCGGAAUUACUGGGCGUAAAGCGUGCGCAGGCGGCUUUGCAAGACAGAUGUGAAAUCCCCGGGCUCAACCUGGGAACUGCACUUGUGACUGCAAGGCUAGAGUACGGCAGAGGGGGAUGGAAUUCCGCGUGUAGCAGUGAAAUGCGUAGUUAUGCGGAGGAACACCAAUGGCGAAGGCAAUCCCCUGGGCCUGUACUGACGCUCAUGCACGAAAGCGUGGGGAGCAAACAGG
rnacentral:rRNA from 1 species